GGUCAGCUGACACAUCCCUGCCAAUCUCCGGCAGACCCUCCCUCCCAGACCCUCCUACUUCCGGGACAGCAUCCAUGUGGAAGGCAGCUUCAACAUGGAUGCUAUUCAGGAGGUGGGAGGGUCUGGGAGGGAGGGUCUGCCGGAGAUUGGCAGGGAUGUGUCAGCUG